rnacentral:tRNA from 1 species
GGCUGCCUGGCCCAAUGGUCAAGGCGCCUGCCUACGAUCCACAUUCUGCGAGUGCGUCAGCAGGAGAUUCCAGGUUCGAGCCCUGGGGCGGUCG